rnacentral:tRNA from 3 species
GGCGCGUUAGUCUAGUGGUCAGGACGCCGCCCUCUCAAGGCGGAAUCACGGGUUCGAGUCCCGUACGCGCUACCA